CUUUCUUUGCUGGCGACCGGCGCACGGGUGAGUAACACGUAUCCAACCUGCCCUUUACUCGGGAUAGCCUUUCGAAAGAAAGAUUAAUACCCGAUAGUAUAAUGAUUCCGCAUGGUUACAUUAUUAAAGGAUUCCGGUAAAGGAUGGGGAUGCGUUCCAUUAGGUUGUUGGUGAGGUAACGGCUCUCCAAGCCUUCGAUGGAUAGGGGUUCUGAGAGGAAGGUCCCCACAUUGGAACUGAGACACGGUCCAA
rnacentral:rRNA from 1 species